rnacentral:rRNA from 1 species
AGUGAACGCUGGCGGUAGGCCUAACACAUGCAAGUCGAACGGCAGCACAGUAAGAGCUUGCUCUUACGGGUGGCGAGUGGCGGACGGGUGAGGAAUACAUCGGAAUCUACUUUUUCGUGGGGGAUAACGUAGGGAAACUUACGCUAAUACCGCAUACGACCUACGGGUGAAAGCAGGGGAUCUUCGGACCUUGCGCGAUUGAAUGAGCCGAUGUCGGAUUAGCUAGUUGGCGGGGUAAAGGCCCACCAAGGCGACGAUCCGUAGCUGGUCUGAGAGGAUGAUCAGCCACACUGGAACUGAGACACGGUCCAGACUCCUACGGGAGGCAGCAGUGGGGAAUAUUGGACAAUGGGCGAAAGCCUGAUCCAGCAAUACCGCGUGGGUGAAGAAGGCCUUCGGGUUGUAAAGCCCUUUUGUUGGGAAAGAAAAGCAGCAGGUUAAUCCCCCGCUGUUCUGACGGUACCCAAAGAAUAAGCACCGGCUAACUUCGUG